UUCUCCUGGUGCCUUCGCUUACACUCGCUGUGUUUUGGUCACGUGGCCGGCUAUGGCUCUGGGCGCGGCGCUUGUUUUGGUUUCUUGCUGGCUCCCUGGGCCCGCGGGCCAGGCGCUGGGUGGGCAGCUUUCCUGCCCCAGCUUCAGGUCCCUCCUGCACUCCAGCUACCAACCCUUAGCUACCCCGUUCCUUUGGAGCCGGCUAGCGCCAUGCCGCUCCUCCGCUACUGGAAGGUGGGGCUCCCAGGAUACCGCUCGACACUUCUUCCCGCCUCCCCUAAACACUCACAGAUCCAUCACCAUUCUUUAAAAAUAUUUGUUGGGAGAUUCAAGGUACUGUUCCAGGUGCAGCAGAGUCCUUAGCCACCGACCAGUCUCCCCAGCUUACAGCAAGCCCUUGACUACUGUCAAGAAUAAGUUUCAUCUACACUUUGUGGACACAGCCAUUUGGAGAGGGAGGUACUUCGAGUGGUAGCCCUAUCCCUGGGACAGUGAUGUGUUACAGCUUCUCUGCCUGUUCAGUUGAGAAGAAUGAAAAAAUAAAGUGUCAGUCCCUAAAAA